AAAGAGAAGCAAUACCGCGAGGUGGAGCAAAACUUCAAAAACGAUCCCAGUUCGGACUGCAGGCUGAAACUCGCCUGCACGAAGUUGGAAUUGCUAGUAAUCGCGGAUCAGCAUGCCGCGGUGAAUACGUUCCCGGGUCUUGUACACACCGCCCGUCACACCAUGGGAGCUGGUAACACCCGAAGUCAGUAGUCUAACCGCAAGGAGGACGCUGCCGAAGGUGGGAUUAGCGACUGGGGUGAAGUCGUAACAAGGUAUC
rnacentral:rRNA from 1 species